rfam:Schistosoma haematobium scaffold35_11, whole genome shotgun sequence.
AUCAACUGAGGAAUGCAAGUACACCCAAUCGGCGAAUCCCAAAUAAGACGAAACGCGCGUCCUGGAU